AUUGAACGCUGGCGGCAUGCCUUACACAUGCAAGUCGAACGGCAGCGCGGGGCAACCUGGCGGCGAGUGGCGAACGGGUGAGUAAUAUAUCGGAACAUACCCUAGAGUGGGGGAUAACGUAGCGAGAGUUACGCUAAUACCGCAUACGCACUAAGGUGGAAAGUGGGGGAUCUUCGGACCUCAUGCUCAUGGGGUGGCCGAUAUCUGAUUAGCUAGUUGGUGAGGUAAAGGCUCACCAAGGCGACGAUCAGUAGCUGGUUUGAGAGAACGACCAGCCACACUGGAACUGAGACACGGUCCAGACUCCUACGGAGGCAGCAGUGGGAAUUUGGACAAUGGGGCAACCCUGAUCCAGCAAUGCCGCGUGAGUGAAGAAGG
rnacentral:rRNA from 1 species